rnacentral:miRNA from 1 species
GAUCUUGACUUGGAAGCAACU